GUGCCAGCAGCCGCGGUAAUACGGAGGGUGCAAGCGUUAUCCGGAUUCACCGGGUUUAAAGGGUGCGUAGGCGGGCUAUUAAGUCAGUGGUGAAAUCUCAGAGCUUAACUCUGAAACUGCCAUUGAUACUAUUAGUCUUGAAUGUUCUGGAGGUGAGCGGAAUAUGUCAUGUAGCGGUGAAAUGCUUAGAUAUGACAUAGAACACCCAUUGCGAAGGCAGCUCACUACGGAAAUAUUGACGCUGAGGCACGAAAGCGUGAGGAUCAAACAGGAUUAGAUACCCUGGUAGUCC
rnacentral:rRNA from 1 species